rnacentral:rRNA from 1 species
GACGAACGCUGGCGGCGUGCUUAACACAUGCAAGUCGAACGGUGAAGGGACCGGUUUUUGCUGGUUCUGGAUGAGUGGCGAACGGGUGAGUAACACGUGAGUAACCUGCCCCCUUCUUCUGGAUAACCGCAUGAAAGUGUGGCUAAUACGGGAUAUUCUGCGCCUGCUGCAUGGUGGGUGUGGGAAAGAUAUUGUUUCGGUGGGGGAUGGGCUCGCGGCCUAUCAGCUUGUUGGUGGGGUGAUGGCCUACCAAGGCGGUGACAGGUAGCCGGCCUGAGAGGGUGGACGGUCACACUGGGACUGAGACACGGCCCAGACUCCUACGGGAGGCAGCAGUGGGGAAUAUUGCACAAUGGGCGCAAGCCUGAUGCAGCGACGCCGCGUGAGGGAUGGAGGCCUUCGGGUUGUAAACCUCUUUCGCCAGUGAAGCAGGCCUGUCCCUUGUGUGGGUGGGUUGACGGUAGCUGGAUAAGAAGCGCCGGCUAACUACGUG